UGCCAGCAGCCGCGGUAAUACGGAGGGAGCUAGCGUUGUUCGGAAUUACUGGGCGUAAAGCGUGCGUAGGCGGAUCGACAAGUUGGGGGUGAAAUCCCGGGGCUUAACCCCGGAACUGCCCUCAAAACUGUCGAUCUAGAGACCGGGAGAGGUAAGCGGAAUUCCUAGUGUAGAGGUGAAAUUCGUAGAUAUCGGAAGGAACACCAGUGGCGAAGGCGACUUCCUGGGCCAAUACUGACGCUGAGGUGCGAAAGCGUGGGGAGCAAACAGGAUUAGAUA
rnacentral:rRNA from 1 species